ensembl:lncRNA
GCACAGAUGGGGACAGACAGACAGACAUGGAGGGGGACAGAGAGGCACAGACAGAUGGGGACAGAUGGACACAGAUGGGGACAGACAGACGGACACGGAUGGGGACAGACGGACACAGACAGAUGGGGACAGACGGACACAGACAGAUGGGGACAGACAGACGGACACAGAUGGGGACAGACAGACGGAUAUGGGGACAGACAGACGGACGUGGAUGGGGACAGACGGACACAGAUGGGGACAGACAGACGGACACAGAUGGGGACAGACAGACAGACAUGGGGACAGACAGACGGACACGGAUGGGGACAGACAGAUGGACACGGAUGGGGACAGACAGACAGACGUGGAUGGGGACAGACGGCAUAGGGACAUACGGGGCCAGAUGGGGAUAAGGACAGACGGACGGACACGGAUGGGGACAGACGGACAGACGGGGACAGGGACAGAUGGGGACAGACGGACAGAUGGGGACAGAUGGGGAUAAGGACAGACAGACGGACAUGGAUGGGGACAGACGACAGUGGGGACAGAUGGGGAUAAGGACAGACAGACAGACAUGGAGGGGGACAGACGGACAGACGGGGACAGAUGGGGACAGAUGGGGAUAAGGACAGACAGACAGACAGACCGGGACAGACAGACGGACAUGGAGGGGGACAGACAGACAGACGGGGACAGAUGGGGAUAAGGACAGACGGACGGACGUGGGGAGAAGGGGACACAGAUGGGGACAGACAGACACAGACAGAUGGGGACAGAGAGGCACAGAUGGGGACAGACAGACGGACGUGGAUCGGGACAGACAGACGGACACGGAUGGGGACAGACAGACACAGACAGAUGGGGACAGACGGACGGACGUGGAUGGGGACAGACAGACACAGAUGGGGACAGACGGACGGACGUGGAUGGGGACAGACAGACACAGGUGGGGACAGACAGACGGACAUGGAGGGGGACAGACGGACAGACGGGGACAGGAACAGAUGGGGACAGACGGAGACAGAUGGGGAUAAGGACAGACAUAUGGACCGGGACAGACAGACGGAUGUGGAGGAGGACAGACGGACAGAUGGGGCCAGAUGGGGAUAAGGACAGACGGACGGACACGGAUGGGGACAGACGGACAGAUGGACGUGGAGGGGGACAGACGGACACGGAUAGGGACAGACAGACGGACAGACGGAGACAGAUGGGGAUAAGGACAGACAGACGGACGUGGAGGGGGACAGACGGACAUAGGGAGAAGGGGACACAGAUGGGGACGGACAGACAGACAGUGAUAAGGACAGACAGACACGGAUGGGGACAGACAGACACAGAUGGGGACAGACAGACGGACAGAUGGGGACAGACGGACAGACGGACACGGAUGGGGACAGACAGACAGACAUGGAUGGGGACAGACGGACACAGACAGAUGGGGACAGACAGACACAGAUGGGGACAGACAGACAGACACGAAUGGGGACAGACAGACAGACACAGAUGGGGACAGACAGACAGACACAGAGGGGGACAGACAGACAGAUGGGGACAGACAGACAGACGGACACGGAUGGGGACAGACAGACGGACAUGGAUGGGGACAGACGGACAGACGGGGCCGGAUGGGGAUAAGGACAGACAGACGGACGUGGAGGGGGACAGACGGACAUAUGGGGACAGAUGGGGAUCAGGACAGACAGACGGACACAGAUGGGGACAGCCGGCCAGGGGCAGGGAGGACAGAGGGACAGAUGGGGACAGAGGGACGGGGACGGACAGAGGGACAGAUGGGGACAGACGGACGGGGAUGGGGACGGCCUGCGGUGAUGGAUGGGGACAGACGGACGGGGACGGACGGACGGACGGACGGCGGCAGCUGCGGGGUUGGGGGGGGGAAUGGCUGAGUGCGGGGGGGCACUGCGGCCCCAUUCAGUCCCAUUCGUGGCCCCAUUCAGUCCCAUUCGUGGCCCUAUUGGUGGCCCCAUUCAGUCCCAUUGGUGGCCCUAUUGGUGGCCCUAUUGGUGGCCCCAUUGCUGUCCCCAUUCAGUCCCAUUGGUGGCCCCAUUGGUGGCCCCAUUGGUGGCCCCAUUCAGUCCCAUUGGUGGCCCCAUUGUUGGCCCCAUUCAGUCCCAUUGGUGGCCCUAUUGGUGGCCCUAUUGGUGGCCCAUUGCUGUCCCCAUUCAGUCCCAUUGGUGGCCCCAUUGGUGGCCC